ACCGACUCAAGGUUGACUCAGCUUUCCAUCCUUCCGAGAUGUGCCACAACUGUGCCAGAAAUAGGUCAACUUAAGCUGGCCGAGAGGAACAACGGUGUGAGAUCACCCAGGAGUGGAAUUACAAUGGGAAUGAAGGGGGAGAAAAAAUCUGUAUGGAAACGUUUAGGGAAAGAGAGAGAAGGGAAGGAAAGAGAAGUACGCAAGGGACUAAUUACCAUGUAUCAUUAAUAUGCAAAUGAAUGCAGUCUUCUGUCCUCAUCAUGAUGCAUUUUCAAAUUGGGGGUGACGUCAUUCAGGCUGCCCCAAAGGUAGCAGAUAGAUAAAGCACAAUUUGCACCCUCUCCCAAAAGAAAUAUAUAUAAACGGUUCGUGUGCACGAUUGAGAUAAUGAAGUUUAUUCAACUGCAUGCUUUGGGUUACAUGUUUUACAUGUUUUUUUUUUUACAUGUUCUAUUUGAACAAACGUAUCUGACUGAUAUGGACACUGAGCAAGCAGUCGUAACGUUUUAAUAUAUUUUGAAACACUGUUAAAUGCUUAAAAAUGAGAUUUACUAACGGGCAAAGUUUUAAGAUUUAGGAAAAAAAAAACAAAGAUGCAUCAAAACUACAAUUUAUGUAGUCCUCGACUUACAACUAUUUGUUUAGCGACUGUUACGACGAUACAAGGGGGGAAAAGUGACUUGCAACAGGUCCUCGCACUUACAACCGUAGCAGGAGCCCUGCGGUCAUGGUGAUCAAAAUUUGGACACUCGGCAACCGGUGUUUAUUGGUAGCAGCCUCCUGGGGUCAUGUGACGGCCAUGUGUGACCUUCUCAGUUGGUUUCCAACAAGCCAAGUCCAUUGGGGGAAGGUGAUUCACAUAGCGACCACAUGAUUCACUUAACAACUGCAGAGUAGCUUAAGAACCGCGGCCAAAAAAAAAAAAA